rnacentral:rRNA from 1 species
AUGAACGCUGACAGAAUGCUUAACACAUGCAAGUCAACUUGAAUUUGGGUUUUUAACUUAGGUUUGGGUGGCGGACGGGUGAGUAACGCGUAAAGAACUUGCCUCACAGCUAGGGACAACAUUUGGAAACGAAUGCUAAUACCUAAUAUUAUGAUAAUAGGGCAUCCUAUAAUUAUGAAAGCUAUAAGCGCUGUGAGAGAGCUUUGCGUCCCAUUAGCUAGUUGGAGAGGUAACGGCUCACCAAGGCGAUGAUGGGUAGCCGGCCUGAGAGGGUGAUCGGCCACAAGGGGGCUGAGACACGGCCCUUACUCCUACGGGAGGCAGCAGUGGGGAAUAUUGGACAAUGGACCAAGAGUCUGAUCCAGCAAUUCUGUGUGCACGAUGAAGUUUUUCGGAAUGUAAAGUGCUUUCAGUUGGGAAGAAAGAAAUGACGGUACCAACAGAAGAAGUGACGGCUAAAUACGUG